GAGUUUGAUCAUGGCUCAGGACGAACGCUGGCGGCACGCCUAACACAUGCAAGUCGAACGGAGAUAUUUUGGUUUACUGAGAUAUCUUAGUGGCGGACGGGUGAGUAACACGUGAGCAACCUGCCUCUGAGAGAGGGAUAGCUUCUGGAAACGGAUGGUAUUACCUCAUAACAUAACGAAGCCGCAUGACUUUGUUAUCAAAGAUUUAUCACUCAGAGAUGGGCCCGCGUCUGAUUAGAUAGUUGGUGAGGUAACGGCUCACCAAGUCGACGAUCAGUAGCCGGACUGAGAGGUUGAACGGCCACAUUGGGACUGAGACACGGCCCAGACUCCUACGGGAGGCAGCAGUGGGGAAUAUUGCACAAUGGGGGAAACCCUGAUGCAGCGAUGCCGCGUGGAGGAAGAAGGUUUUCGGAUUGUAAACUCCUGUCUUAAAGGACGAUAAUGACGGUACUUUAGGAGGAAGCUCCGGCUAACUACGUGCCAGCAGCCGCGGUAAUACGUAGGGAGCGAGCGUUGUCCGGAAUUACUGGGUGUAAAGGGAGCGUAGGCGGGAUGGCAAGUCAGAUGUGAAAACUAUGGGCUCAACCCAUAGACUGCAUUUGAAACUGUUGUUCUUGAGUGAAGUAGAGGUAAGCGGAAUUCCUGGCGUAGCGGUGAGAUGCGUAGAUAUCAAGAGGAACAUCGGUGGCGAAGGCGGCUUACUGGGCUUUUACUGACGCUGAGGCUCGAAAGCGUGGGGAGCAACAGGAUUAGAUACCCUGGKUAGUCCACGCUGUAACGAUGAUUACUAGGUGUGGGGGGGACUGACCCCUUUCGUGCGCAGUUAACACGAUAAGUAAUCCACUKGGGGAGUMCGGCCGCAAGUUGAAACUCAAGGAAUUGACGGGGGCCUSCACAGCAGUGUAGUAKGKGUUAAUCCGAGCAAC
rnacentral:rRNA from 1 species